rnacentral:lncRNA from 1 species
GAAAAUGUUAAGUAGAGUGAAAAAUGUAUCACUGAUUAACCAGUGGAAAUUUAUUACAGCAGUUAAGAGCCCUGGGUCUGGAGCAAAACUGCUGAGGUUUGAGGCCCCGUUUUGCUGCUCACUAGCUACAUGAUCUUGGGCAAGUUAUUUAAGCUCUCUGAGCUUCAGUUUCUUCCUCUGCAGAAUGGGGAUGAAAGUGGACUACUACCUCAUGGCAUGUUUUGAGGAUGAAAUGAGCUAAUAAACACAGUCUUCAGCCCUACAUUAGAAAUUAUUCCUUUGCAGGUGGUGCAAAGGAUCAGCACGGGAGUUUUGACCUGCUCCGUUUCCGACCUGGGUCGGUUCACCCCUCCUUAGGCAACCUGGCGGUUCCCCGCUCCAGGGAGGUCACCCUCUUGAUGCUGAAUUUAGCACGGACACCUGAUGGGCACAGUGCACUGCAGCCCAGAGCUCCUGAGCUCAAGCCAUCCUCCUGCCUCAGCCUCCAAGUAGCCAGGACCACAGGCACGCACCCUGAGGAGGAAGAAAUACCAGGUGCGCAUGCUCCAAGAAAAAGCCAUCUGAGGACGCGGCAAGAAGGCCGCCAUCUACAAGCCAAGGAGAGGGGCCUCAGGAGAAAUCGAACCUGUCACACCUUGAUCUUGGACUUCCAGCCUUCAGAACUGUGAGAAAGUAAAUUUCUGUGUUCAAGCUACCAGGUCUGUGGGAUUUUUUAUGGCAGCCCUAGCAGACUAAGACAGGCAUCAAUGGUUCCAAUGUUUUCAUUUUUUUUCCGGUAAGCAGACCGAAGCCCAGAGAGAUGAAGCAAUUUGCCCAAAGUCACAUACCAAGUUAACUGAAGAGUUGGGGUUAGAAUCCAGCUCUUGUGACUUCUCUCUUUUCAGUUUCCCUUCCCACUCCCCCCACUGAAAAGCUUUUGAGUGACUCUUUUAGAAAUCCCGGUUCUGUAUAUGAAGCAGAAUUGAGCACAGCUGCUCUAAUGAAGGGCUCAGAGCUCCCAGGCUUUUCUCUCUCCCCUGCCCCUUUUCCCUGUUGCACCUCUGCAGUGUCCUGAGGGUUGAUGGAAUCUAGUUUGAAAGCUAUUGCUCUACCUCACUGCCUCCUGAAUGCAAUGUCACAAAUUUUCCCAACUUGCCAUUUCUCUCACACUGACAUAAAGCAUUAGAAACCUGUUGUGAAGUAGGAAAGCUAACUGGGUCAGUAGCUGAUAAGAUAAUCUGGCCUAGGGGAUAGAUGAUUAGGAUUUCAGAGAAGGAAAGGUCACCCAAUUGAUUUGACUCUGUCCUGGGGCGAUGAUAUGGUGAAGAUUUCUACAGAUGCAGCAGAAACAUCCGGAAACCAGGUGUGUCCCAGCUCUGGUCUGGGAACCAUUUCAUAAAUUGGCAAAUAUCCAGGAUAUACACAUGGCUAAUUCUGAGGUGUACUGAAGUUUCAAUAAAGCUACUUUGGUAAUGACUAGGAGAAGAAAAUCCUAUGGCUGGACUUCAUUAAUGUUGUAUGGCCAAGGACAGUGUUUCUCUAAUUAUGGCCUGUGAACCUCCCUGGAUCUCGAUCACCUGCAUAUUUGGGAAUAUGCAGGUUCCAGGGUCCCACCUGAAACUACAGAAUCAGUAUUGAGAUCCCAGGUGAUUCUCAUGUACACUCAAGUGUAAGAUUAUUAGCACCUGGACUUUGGAAGCAGCCAGAUAAAAGUUUGGAUCCUGGGUUGGCUACUUCCUAGAUGUGGCCAAGUCAUUUUACUUGCCAUGCUUUUGCUUUUCUUGUCUGUAAAGUGGACAUGAUACCUAUUUUACAGGGUGGUUUUGAGGAAUAAGGUCAGCAUUAAACAUUUAUCCUCUUUAGGGAGACAGAGAGAGGAGAUGAAAUAGAGUAGAAUUGAGAAAAGCAGUUUCUUAGACCUCCCUGUGAAGUUUUUCUUAUUUCAACAAAUAAUAAAAUAAAAAAUUCAUACACUUUCUUAGUGCUUGUUUGGACUUAAGAAUUUAAAAAUAACUUGAGAGUUUUAUAGGCAUCAAGGAUGAUGUCUGAGUGCUGGAAAUACUUGACCUUUGGCUGGAAGGUGGAGUGAAGGUGCCAGCGGACUGAACCCUGGGAGACUGUCUUCUGUUUUAUGAAUGUGGUCAUGCUCUGAGUUAAAUGAUGUCCCUGGUAAGGACAUCUCCCAGAAAAGCUUAGAAAUCAGCUGUAAUCCUUGUUCCCUGCAAGACCCUUGACUUGGAUGUUAAGAGUUCCCUAUAAUGAUAAUAGCUACCUUUACUGAGCACUACUUGUUAGCCAGGCAUUGUGCUAAGUGCUUUAUGUGCAUUAUGUUAUGCAAUCCUGCAAAUACCGUUACGGGGCAGGUAAUAUUAUUAAUGCUAUUUUAACAAUGACAAAAGUAACUCACUGAUUAGGACUCUGAGUAGUAUCCAUACCACUGUAAGGAUAACAAAGAGCAAAGGCAGAUUAGGUCCGGCUCUGCUGUUUGUUGGGUGUUUUACUUAGAUUUAACCCCUAGACAAGUCUGAGUCUUGAUAUGGUCUUGCCUAUUACUCUACUUCUUUCUCUGCUGUGCACAGAUGGAGACUGGCAUCUGUAUUAAUACCAGGUUGUGUGCUUAAAGUCCAAUGAAUAGCAUUUUUUUUUUUUUUUGAGAUGGAGUCUCAUUCUGUUGCCCCGGCUGGAGUGCAGUGGUGCGAUCUCUGCUCACUGCAACCUCCGCCUCCCAGGUUCAAGCAAUUCUCCCACGUCAGCCUCCUGAGUAGCUGGGAUUACAGGGGUAUGCCACCAUGCCUGGCUAAUUUUUGCAUUUUUAGUAGAGAUGGGGUUUCACCAUGUUGGCUAGGCUGGUCUCGAACUCCUGACCUCAGGCGAUCCACCUGCCUUGGUCUCCCAAAGAGCUGGGAUUACAGGCGUGAGCCACUGCACUGAGCCCAGUGAAUAGCAUUUAAUAAAUGUUUGUAAAUGCUCUGAAUGUACUAUGAUAAUACAACAAAGUUGUACACAUAAGAUUAUCAUAGCAAAAAAUGGAGAGUAACCUUGGUUACUUCUAUAUAGUUAUUUAAUUUUAAUUUUUUUUUUUGAGAUGGAGCCUUGCUCUGUCACCCAGGCUGGAGUAUAGUGGCGUGAUCUUGGCUCACUGCAACCUCCACCUCCUAGCCUCCUAGGUUCAAGCGAUUCUCCUGCUUCAGCCUCCUGAGUAGCUGGGACUACAGAUAUAUACUACCAUGCCCCUUUAAUUUUUGUAUUUUUGGUAGAGAUGAAGUUUCACCAUUUUGGCCAGGCUGGUCUUGAACUCCUGACCUCAAGUGAUCAGCUCACGUCUGCCUCCCAAAGUGCUGGGAUUACAGGUGUCAGCCACCGUGCCAGGCCAAUUUUUUUUUUUUUUUAGAGACAGAGUCUUGCCUUGUCAGCCAGGUUGGAGUGUAGUGGUAUGAUCACAGCUUAUUGCAACCUCGAACUCUUGGGCUCAAGUGAUCCUCCAGCCUCAGCCUCCCGAGUAGCUAUGGCUACAGGUGCAUACAAUCAAAUGCCUGGCUAAUUAAAAACAUUUUUUUUUCUGUAGAGAUAGUUUCUCGCUAUGUUGUCCAGGCUGGUCUUGAAAUCCUGGCCUCAAGCAAUCCUCCUGCUUCAGCGUGGGAUUACAAGCAUGAGCCACUGUGCCCAGCCUAUACAGCCAUUUAAAAUGAUUGUAUAGCUCUAUAAUAAAUGAAUAACAUACAUACCAUAAUAAAAGAAUAAAGCAGGAUAUGAAGUAGCAUGAUUAAUGGAAUCUCAUUUUUGAAAAUCAAAUAUGUUUAUAUGUACAUAGAAAAAAUAUGGAAGGAUCUACCCCAUAAUGUUAGUUGAGCUCUGAAUGGUAGAUUUAGGAUUUUUUUUUUUUUUUUUUUUUUUUGAGACAGUCUCACUCUGUCACCCAGGCUGGAGUGCAGUGGCGUGGUCUCAGCUCACUGCAACCUCUGCCUCCCGGGUUCAGGUGAUUCUCUUGCCUCAGCCUCUGGAAUAGCUGGGAUUACAGGUGCCCGCCACCACACCUGGCUAAUUUUUGUAUUUUUAGUAGAGACGGGGUUUCUCUAUGUUGGCCAGGCUGGUUUUGAACGGCUGACCUUGUGAUCCGCCUGCCUCAGUUUCCCAAAGUGCUAGGAUUACAGGUGUGAGCCACCAUGCCCUACGAUUUAGGAUGUUUUUUGACUCUGAAAAAGAAAAAUUGUCUGAUUUUUCUUUUUCUGUUUUUAUUUUUACAGUGAGCUGAACACACAUCAUUUUUAUAACUGGGAAAAAUGUGCCACUAUUAUUUUGAAAAUUAAAUUCCUUGGAAAUAAAAAGCUAAACAUUCUACCAUCUUCCAUGUUAUUGUGGGUUUGUAUUUGCUUCUCUAAGAGAGUGAUUAGGAGAUGCUCUGAAGACUCUCAGCACACCAAAAGGAUAGCUAUUCUAAACAUUCCUUUUAGCACCUUCACAUACAUUCAAUGCAUUCCUCAAUGUAUCACCCAAUGCAUUCUUGUUGAAUAAGUGAAUGAGCAUUGAGAAGAAAAUCUGUGAUCAAUAUGCAAAGUGUUGCAAAAGAAGAACACUUUCAUAAGGAUGAGAAGUCAUAACAAUAGAAAAUAAUAACUUUCAAUUUCUUUUUCUUAGAUUCCUGGUAGCUGGAUUAAUUUGUGUUCAAAGUGAUUCACUGAGUCUAGUGAGAUCCUAGAACAAGGUUGGGGCUGUUUAAGUCACUCUAAGAGCUCCCUCCAGACAUUUCUGUCAGCCUGUCUACACCAUAUCUCUUUUCAUUAUUCUUGUUGCCUUUGGUGGCUGUCACAGACAGGAGAGCCAAAUAAUGCUCCUAGCAGCACAUAUCAUUUCUGCUUUGUCCAUCUCUUGCUCACUAUAAUAGGACAUUCUUCUUCCACAGAUAGAACAGAUUUCUGGUUCUUAGAAAGGCUUCCCAACCUCUGCCCAGGCGUUCAUUUUAUUUGUGAUUCAGAGAAUGGCUCUUGGCCAACACAAGAGAAUGCCAAUUCAGGGACUACUGUGGUUUGAAUGUCCCCUCUGAAACUCAUGUUGAAAUCUAAUUGCCAUUGUAAUAGUAUUAACAGUGGGACCUUUAAAAGGUGCUUAGGUCAUGAGGGGUCAUGAUGGAUUAAUGCUGUUGUCACUGGGAGUGGGG